CAAAACAGUAAAAUGGUUUCCGGAUGAUAACUCAAGAAUGCUUACGCCUUGGAUCAUGAAACUUCAUAGGUACAUUGAUCAUGACUGGCAGAUGACCCCUAUUGAUUUUCAGGUCACAAGGUCAAAGGUCAAGGUCACAGUGACUCGAAAAAGUGAAAUGGUUUCCGGAUGAUAACUCAAGAAUACUUACGCCUAGGAUCAUGAAACUUCAUAGGUACAUUGAUCAUGACUGGCAGAUGACCCCUAUUGAUUUUCAGGUCACUAGGUCAAGGUCACAGUGACAAAAAACAUAUUCACACAAUGGCUGUCACUACAACGGAGAGCCCAUAUGGGGGCAUGCAUGUUUUACAAACAGCCCUUGUUAAAUAUUGCAAUUAUGACAUGCUUAUAUUUUAAAAAUGAAAUGAAACCAUCCCUUUCAGUGUGCAUCAUGCAAAUACAGUGAUGGUUUACUUAUUCUGUAUUUUUUUAUAAUUUUCUUUUGCAUUUUUGGAAAUAUUUACAGACUUGUGAAUGUUUUGUUGAUAAUUUAUCAUUUUCAUAAAAUGUUGGCAAUGUAAAGAAGUUUGGCCGAUUACAAUGAAAAUCGAAUGGUUGUUUUCUUGUUGAUAUUCAAAAUACAUUGCAUAAUGAAUACCUGUUAUAUGUGCUACUAAGCACUUUGUUUUACACACAUUUCUGUUUUGUUUUUUGUGUGCACUUUAUGACUAAUGCGUUAUCAAAUUCAUAUGUGUUGGUGCGUUUAAGGUAUAAUAUGUCAUUUUACUCAAUGAUAACUAUGAUGUUGGAUAGAAAAUAAAUCGGGUUGUGUAGCUUUUGAUUUCUGCUUUUCUUAGUUUUAAAAAACUAAAGAUGAAAUCUUCAGUUAUGAACUGAAUACAAAUCCAUAUAAUAUUUUACUGUCCAGUACCAUUGAUAUCUUGUUCUAUUAAAAGCUUAUACUUAAAUGUCCUGUAUUAAAUUAAGAAGGCGUUGAUAAAAUAUCAUUUUAGCUCACCUGAGCUUUUGGGAUCACCUUUUGUCCAUGGUGCGUCGUCCGUCAUCAAAAGUUUGCCUUGUGAACACUCUAGUGGCCACAUUUAUUGUCUGAUCUGCAUUAAACUUGGUCAGAAGAUUUGUCUCAAUGAUAUCUUGGUCGAGUUAGAAACAGGGUCAUGCUGGGUCAAAAAAAAGAGAAAAACCUUGUUAACACUGUAGAAGUCACAUUUGAUGCCCAAUCUUCAUGUAACUUUGUCAAAAUGUUUGUCUUAAUGAUAUGUUGGUUGAGUUCAAAAAUGGUUCUGGUCUGUUUAAAAACAUGGCCACCAGGGGGCGGGGCAGUAUUCCUUAUAUGGCUAUGGAGAAACCUUGUGAACACUCUAGAAGUCACAAUUUUUGUCCAAUCAUCAUUAAACUUGGUCAAAACAUUGGUUUCAUUGAUAUCUCGAAUGAGUUCGAAAAUGGUCCAGAUUGGUGAAAAAACAUUGCUGCCAGGGGGAGGAGCAGUUUUCUCGAUAUGUAUAUAGUGAAAACAUGUGAACACUCUAGAAGUCACAUUUGUGGUACAAUGUUCAUGAAAUUGGUUAGAAUAUUUGUUUCCUGGAUGCGAGGGUUGAGUUCGAAAAUGGUUCGGAUCGGUAAAAAAACAUGGCCUCCAGGCUCCAGGGGGGGGGGGGGGAUAAUUUUCCUUAUAUUAAUAUCGUAAAAAAAAAUACAUGUGAACACUCUAGAAGUCACAUUUUUUGCCUAAUGAUCUUGCAAUAUUGUAUAAACAUUGAUUUUAUAGAUAUCUUAGACGAGUUUUAAAAUGGUCAUGAUCGGUGGAAAACAUGGCCGCCAGGGGGUGGGGCAUUUUUCUCUAUAUGUAUAUAGUGAAAACAUUGUGAACAGUCUAGAAGACACAUAUUUUGCCCAAUCUUCAUGAAAUUUGGUCAUAAUAUUUGUUUUCUGGAUACAAUGGUUUAGUUCGAAAAUGGUUCGAAUCUGGAAAAAAAAACAUGGCCACCAGUGGGGGGGGUCAUUUUCCUUAUAUUUACAUAGUAAAAAAAGCUUGUGAACACUCUAGAAGUCACAUUUUUUGCCUAAUCAUCAUGAAAUUUGGUCAAACAUUGAUUUGAGGAUAACUCGGACUAGUUCGAAAAUGGUCGUGAUGAUCAUUUGAAAAACAUGGCUGCCAGGAGGGUGAGACAGUUUUCUCUAUAUGUAUAUAGUGAAAACAUGUGAACAGUCUAGAGUACACAUUUUUUGCCAAUCUUCAUGAAAUUUGGUCUGAACAUUUGUUUCCUGGAUAUGACGGUUGAGUUUUAAAAAUGGUUCGGAUCGUAAAAAAAUAUGGCCACCAGGGGGGGGGUAACUUUUUCUUAAGAUUUAUAUAGUAAAAAAGCUUGUGAAUACUCUAGAAGUCACAUUUUUUGCCUAAUCAUCAUGAAAUUUGGUCAAAGCAUUGGUUAUGUGGACAUCUCGGAAGAGUUUGAAAAUGGUCAUGAUCAUUUGAAAAACAUGGCUGUCAGGGGUAGGGGCAGUUUUCUCUGUAUGUACAUGUAUAUUGUGACAACAUGUGAACAGUCUAGAAGACACAUUUUUUGCCCAAUCUUCAUGAAAUUUGGUCAUAACAUUUGUUUCCUGGAUAUUUCGUUCGAGUUCGAAAAUGGUUCGAAUCAGUAAAAAAACAUGGCCACCAUGGGGGGGUCUUUUUUUGUUUCAUAGUGUUCCUUUCUGAAGAGAUUAUUAUGAUGAUGAUUGGUUGGGGAUGAAGUACAACAAACAUAUUUAUGCCAUAUGAAAACCCUUUAUUAAAUAUUCUCAAAAGUUUAAGUAGUAAUAUUGAUUUCACAGACAAUUACUUAGGGGAGAAACAACUGUAUAUAACUUGAAUUGUGUUUGACCUUCAAUCAUGAAUGCAUGGCUUUUCAGGAAUGCACUAUUAUUUUUCCAAUGAUCCCAUUUAUUCACCUGCUUAUCAGCAACUAAUUAAUUCUCUAUUGACUGUGUCUGAAUUGUUCUGGUACAGUAGUAUUCAUUGAUGCCUUUUGAAAUGGUAAUGUGAUGUAACAGGCUUGCAGCUUAAAUGCCCUUAGUCCCUAGAAAUAGGCCCCAACUGGGAACUCACAUCAAAGACCUUCUGACUGAUAAUAGUGGCACACAAAUUGUUAUGGCACGCAGUUUAUGGAUGAGUUCGGUAGUUAUUGGUGUGAUUAUCAAAGAUUUGCGUUUUAAAUAGGGUUGAUUGUUGUUUUAAUUGGAAAUAUCAUUGCAAGGUGUGUGAAAAUAGUUCCAGUUUGUUUAAAAGCAAGGCCCUGAGGUGGGAUUUCUUUGUAUUGCUAUAGUGAAACAUUGUGAACUCUCUAUAAGUCUCAUUUUAGUUAAAUCUUAAUGAAACAUGCUGAGAACAUAUUUAUGUUCCUAUAAUAUAUUGAUUUACUUUGAAAAUGGAUCCGGUGCUCUGAAGAGCAUGGUUUCCAGGGGCGAGCGAAUUUCUUCUUGUGAACCUGGUGAUAAUAUUUAUAUUUCAUGAAGUACUUUUAUUAUUUUGAACUCCACCUUCCCAGAAUAGUUUUGUUCCUUCAGGUCUCAGGUGAGCACGUUAGGGCCCAUGGCCCUCUUGUUUAAAGAUGUUCGAUUUUUUUUUAAUUACUAUCACAAUAAGCAUAGCAUUUUUCUUGUGAAAUGUUAUAGAUUUUGUGCAACUUUUCUGUCACUGAGAAGUUUCUUUUUUAUAACAAAUUAUAUAUCUGUGUCAUCUAGUUUUUGUACAAAAAUGAGUGUCUUUAUUUAUUAUUUAUUCACUGACUUGUUAAAGAAUCUUCUAAUACUCAUGAUAUGUGAUUGGAAACUCUUCACAGAAGCAUUCACUAAAGGAAUAAUUUUCUCAAAAACCAUAACUAUGUUGUAUUCAUCUUAAUUGACCAAGCAAAAAGGGUAUGGAAGGCAUUUUUUGCAUUAUCAAAUGUGGUAAAACAAUGAUUUAAAUUAAUAACAUUAUAAAACAUUUUUAGGAAGUACAGGUUGUUUUAUUUGGAUAAUUACUGUUUAAUGUAUUGUAGUUUAUUAGAUCAACUAGAGAAUUUGUUAUAUUAAUUUUACUUACAUUGACAAAAUCAGAAAUGUUUUGUUUUCACAUGAAUUCAAACAAUAUUUUUUUUUAACAGCAAAAACAAAUAAUUUGUUUUGAAGCCAUAUGCUCCUAGUUUGGUAUGCUACUAUAGAUUUAGAUAGUCAUAUAUAAUAUAUUCAUUCCAAACAUUAGUUGCUACAAAAAUUUAAUUACAUGUUUUGAUUCUCUGGAACCAUGCCAAAAAAAUAGCCACUCCAUAUGAGCUUUCAACAGUACCACACAAUUACUUGUUGCUGAUUUUAAAUAUAUCAGACAGAUGAUUUUCUGAUUAUUUAUGAGUACAUUUGUAAGAUAUGAUAACACUUGAGACAGUAGCAUCUUGAAAAUGUCAUGUAAUGCUUAGCUACAUUGUUACUUUGUUUGUGAGUUAAGAUGAGCGUGCGAUAACCAUUGACUACAUUUGAAAAUUGUUGUGCGCAAAUAUUACUGUAUCGCUUUUUAGCCAAAGUAUGUAGCUUGUAUUAUUUGUCCGGGUACUUUGUCUUUAACUCUUUUUUAUACUGUUUCAAGAAGUUUAUGUACAGCCCCUGAUGCACAUUUUUUUUUUUUUGCCUUUAGUCUGAGAAACAUUUGAAUAAUUAAGUCCCGAGUUGUUUUAGACAAUUUUAAAGACACCCCAUGUUUGUUUCAUGGUUUUAAGUAAAUUUCAAAUAUAAUUGUCUCUGUAAAACCAAAUAAAUUCUUGGAAUACAGUGAAACCAUUAUUAUUUGUGAAGCAUUAAUUUUUGUCUAUUUCAUCAGUGUACUGAUAAACAAAUUUAAGAUCCUAACGUAUAUGGAAAAUCUCUAUUACAAGUUAAAAUUUUAUUUCAUAUGUUUAAUACAAUAUAGGUUUUGUAUUCUUACAUAUGUAUUUGUACAGUGUUUUAUGGAAAUACAGAGACAUUGUUUAAAUUAUUAAGCAUAGUAUAUAACAAAUAAAAAAACUGCAUUUCUGUAAAUAAAGACCUAAUUGUGAUCUAUUGCCAAACACUGUACCUGCCGUAUAUUUAUUUUUAUGUCAAUAGUUUUGGAAUGACACUGCACAGCACAUUUGCUGUAAAUUUUUAGGAAUAAAUGUUCACUACAUAAAGAUAAGGUUGAUCAUACCUUCAUGUUGACAAAUUUACACGUAUUAAUGAUGUUUCAAGUUGGAAUUACAUCUUUAAUCUUUUCCUGGAAAAAGUAAAAAUAUGAUCUGAUGUCUUCUUUAGGAAAGCAGAAGAACAGUUAUGAAAAGGGUUGAAGACAUAAGCACAGACGGUUUUGAUUGUUUAUUGUGACAAGUGUUUGGCUAUGACUGUUUACAAUUCUCAUUACUGAUAAGGGGUAUAUAACCAACAAAUUUGUUGGGAAUAUAUCAGAUUUUUUAUGAAGAAAUAUGUAAUAAAAUAUUAGUAGGAAA